GCAACCCUUGUCACUAGUUGCCAUCAUUUGGUUGGGCACUCUAGUGAGACUGCCGGUGACAAACCGGAGGAAGGUGGGGAUGACGUCAAGUCCUCAUGGCCCUUAUGGGUAGGGCUUCACACGUCAUACAAUGGUCGGUACAGAGGGUUGCCAACCCGCGAGGGGGAGCUAAUCCCACAAAGCCGAAUCGUAGUCCGGAUCGCAGUCUGCAACUCGACUGCGUGAAGUCGGAAUCGCUAGUAAUCGUGGAUCAGCAUGUCACGGUGAAUACGUUCCCGGGUCUU
rnacentral:rRNA from 1 species